AUAUGUAUGAGCACCAAAGUAGUCUCGCUGAGCUUGGACCAAAUUAGCCGGCAGUCUCUCCCUCCUGUAGCUGUCAAAAUAAGCAAGACUAGCUGACAUACCUGGGGUGCUGAUGCCUGAGUUGAUAGCAAGGCAUACCACCCUUCUCCAGGCAGACUGCCUCUCAAUGAUCUCCUUUGAAAACUCUGGGUCCACAAGAAGAUUUGCAAGAUCAGCAUUCCUAUCAUAUGCCUGCUUAAUUCUGUCCAGGAACACUGCUCGAAUGAUGCAGCCCCCCUUCCAAAUCCUAGCCAACUCCCCCAACUUCAAGUCCCAUCCCUGCUCAAUACUCUUUGCACGGAUAAGAUUCAUCCCUUGUGCAUAACUGCAUAUCUUGGAUGCAUAAAGAGCUUGCCUCACAUCAUCGAUCAACUUUGCCUUAUCCACCUCUGGGGCAGUCAAGAUAUCACCAAAACCAGCUGAUUUGAACACUUUAGCUGCUUUAACCCUCUCUUCCUUUAAACCACUGAGAAACCUUGCAUCCAAAGAAGAUUCAAUUG
rnacentral:lncRNA from 1 species